GGAAGGGACUGUAGCUCAAUGGUUGAGCAUCUGCUUUAUAUGCAGAAGGUCCCAGUUUCAAUCCCUGGCCCCUCCA